rnacentral:rRNA from 1 species
GACGGAGGAUGCAAGCGUUAUCCGGAAUGAUUGGGCGUAAAGCGCACAUAGGCGGCCUGACAAGUCGGGUGUGAAAACCCUGGACUCAACCCAGGAAGUGCACUCGAAACUGCCAGACUUGAAUAUGGAAGAGGGUCGCGGAAUUCCCGGUAUAAAAAUGAAAUUCGUAGAUAUCGGGAGGAACACCAGUGGCGAAGGCAGCGACCUGGGCCAAUAUUGACGCUGAGGUGCGAAAGCGUGAAGAGCAAACAGG